UUCAAGAUGAUGAAGCUUUUUUGAGGUGAACAUAUGAUGUGCGUAACUCAUAUAAUGUAAUGCCUUCAAAGUUCUCUGAUUGUU